rnacentral:hammerhead_ribozyme from 1 species
AUUCAGUUGACGAGUCCCAAACAGAACAAAACGUUAGUCCUAGAU